CCUUGACUGUCCUUGGCAGAAGGUAGCAACAUAAGCCUGGGUUCAGGGUCUGAAAACAAGGUUAGGAGGCUGACCAACCUGCUACCUAGCUGUCCCCUGAGGUUUGGGGAUCUUUCGGCUUACACAUGUUCCGAGACCACAGAAGGCUCGCACGCCUGAAGAGAUCAGUGGCAGGCUGACCGCAUCAAAGAGAUCUCCCUAUCUGGACAUCUCUCAAGGCACAAGUCCCCCAGCCGUCCUGGUGGGUGACUGUCUCCACCUGCCUACACUUGGAAGAAGAAUAAGAUCUGGCCUGGACCCGCGUCAAGGCCUGGAGGAUCGCCGAGAAGCUUCCUUAAGACACCCCGAGGACUUUCUCUGGAAUAAAUGAAGGACCGAGUUACUUCAGAAAUAAUACUGCUUUCAUUAAAACCCUUUUCCGACCCCUC